CCUACGGGAGGCAGCAGUCGAGAAUCAUUCACAAUGGGGGAAACCCUGAUGGUGCGACGCCGCGUGGGGGAAUGAAGGUCUUCGGAUUGUAAACCCCUGUCAUGUGGGAGCAAAUUAAAAAGAUAGUACCACAAGAGGAAGAGACGGCUAACUCUGUGCCAGCAGCCGCGGUAAUACAGAGGUCUCAAGCGUUGUUCGGAAUCACUGGGCGUAAAGCGUGCGUAGGCUGUUUCGUAAGUCGUGUGUGAAAGGCCCGGGCUCAACCCGCGGACGGCACAUGAUACUGCGAGACUAGAGUAAUGGAGGGGGAACCGGAAUUCUCGGUGUAGCAGUGAAAUGCGUAGAUAUCGAGAGGAACACUCGUGGCGAAGGCGGGUUCCUGGACAUUAACUGACGCUGAGGCACGAAGGCCAGGGGAGCGAAAGGGAUUAGAUACCCCUGUAGUC
rnacentral:rRNA from 1 species